UACACAAAAAGAUUUGGUUUCUUGGAAUGCACUGAUAGGAGGUUAUUAGCACCACAGCCGUGCUACAGGGGCCUUACAGCUAUUCGAGGAGAUUAGGAGUGUCAAGGUUAUGCCAACUCACAUAACUUUCAUUUCUCUCCUGAGUGCAUGUGGAAAUGCUGGUUCUUUUUUUUUUUUUUUGUCACUGACGGAACUGAAGGUUUAUAUUCUCAACCCUUUGCUAAACAUGGAGACUUGGAGAGCAGGAGAGCAGAAGUAGACAAGUAAGAAGCAGCUUAGGCUGGCUGUUUCAUAAGGCAAACCUCAUUUCAUAGCGCUGUUAUUUUUAGGCCCCUUGUAUUUACAAAACAACCUCUUUUGUAAAACUAUUCAUGAACACUUAACUAAGCAGAAGCAAAGACUUACUAUGGUUUUUCUUAACUUAAUUAGGCGUCUGCAAUGGGCGGGCAAGAGGCCAAUGUGGUCACUGACAAUAUUCUGAAGGUACAUGCAACUUUGAGCUACAGCCUACAAUAAUUUCAGAUUGAAUUACUCUAAUCUGUGGUUACUAUAUAGACAUCACUUGCUUCAGAUAUUAGAACUAGAGAUAUGUGCAGACACGAUGGUAGGGGUUGAGAUGCUGAGGGACAUCUCUAGUGGACAACAAAAGCGUGUUACAACCGGUGAGAGCGCUUUUGAUGGUCGAAAUAUCAACUGGGCUUGACUGCUCCAUUACAUUCCAGAUUGUGAACUCGCUCAGGCAAUCCAUCACUUUUGUACCAGGUAGCCACUUAGUAAAUGUGUAACAUCAGCUGAUAACAAUGUGCUAGGGAAAGAAAAAUGAAGGCACAACUACACGAUCUCUGCUUUUGAGCUACUACAGACCGACGACUAUACAAUCAAUGUGCAUAUCAUUCCUCGUGCAGAGGUAUAACCUAUUUUUGCUUCUCAAAACAUAACAUGUCUAUUCAGUUUAUGCAUCUUAACUAGGUGAGAUUUCUUCUCUCAAGCUCUGAUUUGUUGACAAAUUCUGGUCUUAAUCGUUGCCACUAUUUUAAUACUUAUUCUUAACAUUCCCUUGCAUCGCGGUUCAUGAGUUUCAGGCUUUCACCUGUGUUAGUAAAAACUAAAAAGGCAAAUGGUUUGUACCUUGCACAGGUUUAUAUACAUGUAAGGAAAACAAACAUACUCAACAGGUAAUCCAUGUGCAUAACUACAUCUACCUCUUGGCCUAUGCAUUUGAUGGUUAAUCCGAAUUAAGUUUCUUGCAUAACACCUGAACAUAGGAGUGUUGUUCCAUUAAGCCGAUCAGAAUCAGUUCCUACCCACAAUCUGAAUUAUUUAAUGAUCGAUUAGAAACCCUCUCCUCACAAUCUGAAUUCUUAGAAGUAGCCUAUUUCCUUCUAUUUUGAUGCUGAGAUCGAUCCAACAUGUUACAAACUUAGUGACGACGAGAUUGAGAAAAGAAUAAACUUGCCUCCAUCACUGAGGCAGACAAUACCAAUUUCUUAAUGAAGACAAAAUUUAAUGAGGUGAUAGAUUCAUGCAAAGAUAUUACU